rnacentral:rRNA from 1 species
AGGGUGACAGGUGGUGCAUGGUUGUCGUCAGCUCGUGUCGUGAGAUGUUGGGUUAAGUCCCGCAACGAGCGCAACCCUCGACCUUAGUUGCCAGCAUUCAGUUGGGCACUCUAAGGUGACUGCCGGCUAAAAGUCGGAGGAAGUGGGGAUGACGUCAAAUCAUCAUGCCCCUUAUGACCUGGGCUACACACGUGCUACAAUGGGCGGUACAAAGGGUCGCGAACCCGCGAGGGGGGAGCCAAUCCCAAAAAGCCGCUCUCAGUUCGGAUUGCAGGCUGCAACUCGCCUGCAUGAAGCCGGAAUCGCUAGUAAUCGCGGAUCAGCAUGCCGCGGUGAAUACGUUCCCGGGCCUU